rnacentral:lncRNA from 1 species
GAGGUUAUGUCCCUAACUGACCUAAAGACUAGCUUAGCACUACAAGAAUUCAGCUUUAGUCUAGCUCCACUAGCCUAAGGAUUACACGAGUAGCAAGGGAGAGAGAGGGAGAGAGGCUUCACGUGUGGUGUGUAUGAGAGGGGGCCUCCUACUUUUAUAGGUGGUUGAGGGUGGUUCCCGGGAGGCAUCCAUAGGGAAUCUUCUCCCACCGCCAUCCUUAGUCAACUAGGUACCGCCACGUGGAGGAUGAGGGCAGGAACUGCUAGUCUAGGUUCGGUUGGACCUGGGGUUUGGCCAACCCUAGGCUGGGCCGGUUCCUAGCCAGCUUUGCGUGGUGGGCUUUCUGGUGGGCCUUGGUCCUUUUUCUCGUGGACCCACAAUGGAUUGGGCUGAUUUGCUCUGGCAUGUGGACCCUCUUAACCAUCGUGUACGCGUUAAGUGUUCUUCUGUGUGUUUCAUCAGCGUUUGCGCACGUUUCCUCUAUGCGAGUAAGGAAUAUUAGUUUU